rnacentral:hammerhead_ribozyme from 1 species
AUUCAACUGAAAAAUCCCAAAUAGGACGAAACGUGAGUUCUGGAU